rnacentral:lncRNA from 1 species
GUGCAAAGAAAUAAUAAUUAAGUCAGUAUGAUGUUGGAAUGUUUUUUUCUUUCUUAUAACUGUAACUGCAUCGUGCUAUCACUACUUAUUAUCAACAUAAACAAAGCUCAGAUCUAUCAUAAUAACAUGUUAGUUUAAUAAAUGUACACCAAAUUUAAAAAUACCAUUGAAAUAAAUUGUUUGUAUUCAGUUCUACAAGUGUGGUUGUGCUUAUCCUUGUGGUAAGAUUGAACAAAUUUGUGUAGUUCUAUUUGUCUCCAUAAACCCUCAAAUAAUCAAAUGGAAUUACUCUUUCUAAAUAUAAAUUAUUUUGAGCAGAAAAUUACUGAAAAUUGAGGGUCAUCAGUGUAAUUUAGUUACACAUAUUGUACUUCUACAUUUACAAGGACUUUCAAUAGUGUUUUUAAAUGCAAUGUAUAUUUCAACCACACAUAAUAUGUAAUUUUGCAUUAAAAUUCACAAUUUGAAACAUAAUCUUUUGUUGCUAUCAUCUUUGCAAAAUUAGCAAAAAAUAUCUUUUCAAACAUUUUUCCAACUUCUAAUGUUCUCUCAAUAUAGCACAAUUCUUCAACAGUGAUAAGUGAAUGAAAUGUUCUACGAAAUAAACUCAUUGCUAACAUAUAUGAAUUGGAAUUUAUUGAUUGAUUUUGAUGAUCUUGAGAGAUUUCUACCUCCAUACUGAAUAAUUAUCUCUUUUUAUCUUGGCUCUCUUUUAUAAGCAAUAUACACAUAAAACAAAAUAAAAAUAUUCACAUAUAAUAAUUUUUCCCUGAGAAAAUAAAACCUCUUAAAAUGAAAUAUGUAUACACAUGUACAAUACAAUAUACCUAAAGUCUGCAGAAAUGGUGUAUCAAUAUUAUAUUUCUGAAAAUUUAAGCAAUGCAGAUUUAUGAUAUAUUGCACGAGUUUUAACCAAUACACAGAUUACUACACAAGAUAAAAACACUUUUGCAUGAAAAAAAACCCAACUAGAUGUGGUUUAAAGUACUCACAAACAGUAUUUCAAACUUGUUUGUCCCUUCAUUAGAAAUAUUUUCAGAAUACAAUUUGGUGUGAGAUUCUAACUACUAAAAUAAUUCAACUAUGGAAAACUAAUCAGUGCUGGACUUUUGGUAGCCACUAUAAACUUGGUGCAUGUAAUGAAUAUGAAAUUUUAAUUCAAAAAGCCCUAUCUGUCAAAAUGAAAAGAUGUAAUCACAAUCUACAGAUCAAUCCAGGAACUGACUUGAUAUGCUCUGGCUUUGCAGUCAUAAACAUUUAGAAUAUGCUUAUUGUACUUAAAUUCAACCAAUAAAAUAACUGGAUUUGGCGUUUUGAGCAAACAUUUUGUUCUCCAAGCACCAAGUAAAAUUUCAUGACCAUAGGCCCUAGCUUGUGACCAAAAGGAAAAAACAAUAAAAGAUAAAAACUGAUGUAAAGCAUAAUAAAAUGUACAUAGCACCAUUUCAACAGAAUAAUCCUUUCUGUUUUCAUAUGAACACAUUAUAUACUCUGACAUUUACACAUAAAAAUUUAAGACAUUGAUGUUAACUGUAAAUUCAGAAAUUAUUGCAAUGUAUGCGACAGGCCAGGGUUAUAAUUGCAAUAAUUAAAACUUGCAUUUUCAAAUUUUUUAUAUGAAUAAUU